rnacentral:rRNA from 1 species
CCAAUAGCGUAUAUUAAAGUUGUUGCAGUUAAAAAGCUCGUAGUUGAAUUUCGGGAUCAAUUUGCUGGUCGUGCCUUCGGUACGCACUGGUAUUAUUGGUUUCUCCUUUCUGAUGAAUCGCGAUGUCAUUAAUUUGGUGUCGUGGGGAAUCAGGACUGUUACUUUGAAAAAAUUAGAGUGUUUAAAGCAGGCUCACGCUU